GACGAACGCUGGCGGCGUGCUUAACACAUGCAAGUCGAACGGAAAGGCCCUGCUUUUGUGGGGUGCUCGAGUGGCGAACGGGUGAGUAACACGUGAGUAACCUGCCCUUGACUUUGGGGUAACUUCAGGAAACUGGGGCUAAUACCGGAUAGGAGCUCCUGCUGCAUGGUGGGGGUUGGAAAGUUUCGGCGGUUGGGGAUGGACUCGCGGCUUAUCAGCUUGUUGGUGGGGUAGUGGCUUACCAAGGCUUUGACGGGUAGCCGGCCUGAGAGGGUGACCGGCCACAUUGGGACUGAGAUACGGCCCAGACUCCUACGGGAGGCAGCAGUGGGGAAUAUUGCACAAUGGGCGGAAGCCUGAUGCGGCAACGCCGCGUGCGGGAUGACGGCCUUCGGGUUGUAAACCGCUUUCGCCUGUGACGAAGCGUGAGUGACGGUAAUGGGUAAAGAAGCACCGGCUAACUACGUG
rnacentral:rRNA from 1 species